rnacentral:tRNA from 1 species
GCCUGGGUGGCUCAGUCGGUUGAGCGUCUGACUUCGGCUCAGGUCAUGAUCUCACGGUCCGUGAGUUCGAGCCCCGCGUCAGGCU